rnacentral:rRNA from 1 species
UACGUAGGGACCAAGCGUUGUUCGGAUUUACUGGGCGUAAAGGGCGCGUAGGCGGCAUGGCAAGUCACUUGUGAAAUCUCCGGGCUUAACUCGGAACGGCCAAGUGAAACUGCUAAGCUAGAGUGUGGAAGGGGCAAUCGGAAUUCUUGGUGUAGCGGUGAAAUGCGUAGAUAUCAAGAGGAACACCUGAGGUGAAGACGGGUUGCUGGGCCAACACUGACGCUGAUGCGCGAAAGCCAGGGGAGCAAACGGG